rnacentral:rRNA from 1 species
GAUGAACGCUGGCGGCGUGCCUAAUACAUGCAAGUCGAGCGAACAGACGAGGAGCUUGCUCCUCUGACGUUAGCGGCGGACGGGUGAGUAACACGUGGAUAACCUACCUAUAAGACUGGGAUAACUUCGGGAAACCGGAGCUAAUACCGGAUAAUAUAUUGAACCGCAUGGUUCAAUAGUGAAAGACGGUUUUGCUGUCACUUAUAGAUGGAUCCGCGCCGCAUUAGCUAGUUGGUAAGGUAACUGCUUACCAAGGCAACGAUGCGUAGCCGACCUGAGAGGGUGAUCGGCCACACUGGAACUGAGACACGGUCCACACUCCUACGGGAGGCAGCAGUAGGGAAUCUUCCGCAAUGGGCGAAAGCCUGACGGAGCAACGCCGCGUGAGUGAUGAAGGUCUUCGGAUCGUAAAACUCUGUUAUUAGGGAAGAACAAAUGUGUAAGUAACUAUGCACGUCUUGACGGUACCUAAUCAGAAAGCCACGGCUAACUACGUG